GAUGAACGCUGGCGGCGUGCUUAACACAUGCAAGUCGAACGGAAAGGCCCAAGCUUGCUUGGGUGCUCGAGUGGCGAACGGGUGAGUAACACGUGGGUGAUCUGCCCUGCACUUCGGGAUAAGCCUGGGAAACUGGGUCUAAUACCGGAUAGGACCACAUUUUGGAUGGUGUGGUGGAAAGUUUUUCGGUGUGGGAUGAGCUCGCGGCCUAUCAGCUUGUUGGUGGGGUAAUGGCCUACCAAGGCGUCGACGGGUAGCCGGCCUGUGAGGGUGUACGGCCACAUUGGGACUGAGAUACGGCCCAGACUCCUACGGGAGGCAGCAGUGGGGAAUAUUGCACAAUGGGCGCAAGCCUGAUGCAGCGACGCCGCGUGGGGGAUGACGGCCUUCGGGUUGUAAACUCCUUUCGCUAGGGACGAAGCGUUAUGUGACGGUACCUGGAGAAGAAGCACCGGCUAACUACGUG
rnacentral:rRNA from 1 species